rnacentral:rRNA from 1 species
UACUCCUACGGGAGGCAGCAGUGGGGAAUAUUGGACAAUGGGCGAAAGCCUGAUCCAGCAAUGCCGCGUGUGUGAAGAAGGCCUGCGGGUUGUAAAGCACUUUCAGUAGAGAAGAAAAGCCUGUGGUUAAUACCCGCGGGUCUUGACGUAACCUACAGAAGAAGCACCGGCUAACUCCGUGCCAGCAGCCGCGGUAAU